UUCGGAUUGUAGUCUGCAACCCGGCUACAUGAAGCUGGAAUCGCUAGUAAUCGCGGAUCAGAAUGCCGCGGUGAAUACGUUCCCGGGUCUUGUACACACCGCUCGUCACACCAUGGGAGUCGGAAAUGCCCGAAGUCUGUGACCCAACCUCAGGGAGGGAGCAGCCGAAGGCAGGUCGGAUGACUGGGGUGAAGUCGUAACAAGGUAAC
rnacentral:rRNA from 1 species